UAAGCCAUGCAAGUCUCAGUACAUGCCGCACUAAGGUGAAACCGCAAAAGGCUCAUUAAAUCAGUUAUGGUUCCUUGGAUCUUAAACAGUUACUUGGAUAACUGUGGUAAUUCUAGAGCUAAUACAUGCAAACAAGUCCCGACCAGAGAUGGGAGGGACGCUUUUAUUAGAUCAAAACCGAUCGGCGUCCGGCUCCGGCCGGCGCCGUCUCUUUUGGUGACUCUGGAUAACUUUUAGCCGAUCGCACGGUCACAGUACCGGCGACGCAUCUUUCAAAUGUCUGACUUAUCAACUGUCGAUGGUAGGCUCUGCGCCUACCAUGGUUGUAACGGGUAACGGGGAAUCAGGGUUCGAUUCCGGAGAGGGAGCCUGAGAAACGGCUACCACAUCCAAGGAAGGCAGCAGGCGCGCAAAUUACCCACUCCCGGCACGGGGAGGUAGUGACGAAAAAUAACGAUACGGGACUCAUCCGAGGCCCCGUAAUCGGAAUGAGUACACUUUAAAUACUUUAACGAGUACCAAUUGGAGGGCAAGUCUGGUGCCAGCAGCCGCGGUAAUUCCAGCUCCAAUAGCGUAUAUUAAAGUUGUUGCGGUUAAAAAGCUCGUAGUUGGAUCUGUGUGCCACGCUGUCGGUUCACCGCCCGUCGGUGUCAACUGGCAUGUCUGUGGGACGUCCUGCCGGUGGCGGUACGGGCUGCCGGCGCUGCGUAGGGGCUCGACCCCGAAGCACGCCGGCGUGUCCCGGUCCGCCGAUCCAAUCCCGCCGCGGUGCUCUUCACUGAGUGUCGAGGUGGGCCGGCACGUUUACUUUGAACAAAUUAGAGUGCUCAAAUCAGGUCGUAUUUAGGCCUGAAUACUGUGU
rnacentral:rRNA from 1 species